UACGAAGGGGGCUAGCGUUGCUCGGAAUUACUGGGCGUAAAGCGCACGUAGGCGGCUUGUUAAGUCAGGGGUGAAAUCCUGGAGCUCAACUCCAGAACUGCCUUUGAUACUGGCGAGCUUGAGUUCGGGAGAGGUGAGUGGAACUGCGAGUGUAGAGGUGAAAUUCGUAGAUAUUCGGAAGAACACCAGUGGCGAAGGCGGCUCACUGGUCCGGUACUGACGCUGAUGUGCGAAAGCGUGGGGAGCAAACAGG
rnacentral:rRNA from 1 species